CUGAUUGGUCAGAUGGUGUUGAUUAAUUUCCUGUAACAGCAGCUCUGUCAGUAGAUCAGACUGCGAGACAAAUCACAGGUUUAUAUGUGCACUUUUCUAUAGUACAAUGCCCGUUUCUAUAGUAACAACAUACACCGGGACUUGUUUUACAGACUACUGCUGUGUCUCAAUUCACCUACUUAUACUAUGCACUGAAAGUAUGUACUCUUUUUGUGAAGAAAAUGCACAUACUUUUGAGUGUGUAGCAAAAGAGUAUGCAGGUACAGUACCGGGACAUACCAACACGUCAGAAGAGAACGUUGUUGCCUAGUUACGCACACGGUCACUGUAAACAAACUCCUCGGUGCCUUUCAGCUUUUCUUCAUUCAUUACUCCUUAUAUAAUUUGUAUUAUAUCAUUUAAUUUACCAUCCCCGUGAUUUAUUUUUCCACAUUUCAUUUGUGCGUCCUUGAAUUCAGCAAAGCAAACUGUCACAAAACUCCUCCUUUGUGCAAGGAGUUGUGGGAAAUAUUAUCUGCACACUUCGAAAAUCUACCGGAAAUACGCUUGGCAUGAUGAAGUCUGCAUUGGAACAGAAGGGCGUUUGACAUUUAGCAGGUUGCAAUUCCUCGCACAGCAGAAUGAACUCCCACACUCUGAAAAUCAGAGUCCGACUUCCAAAUCACUCAUAACAACCGCCUGCUUCGCAGCCAAAACUGCCUUUGUCUCUGUUGUUUAUGCUUAAAAGCAUGACACAGUGGUGCUCAGUGGAGUCAUGUUCAGAAUACAAAAUGUGGAGAGAAGAGGAAUGAAGAAUACAGAUGAAGAGGUCUCUAGUGUCUCCAGUAAGUACAGUGUAGAAUAUCGGGAUAUCUACGGUAUGGUAAAGUGGAAAUGCAUCUGUCGUAGCUGCUGUCAACUGGUACAAACCAACCCUGAAUUUUAAGCAAACUGAUUGGUAUAUGAUUCAUAGGCAUGAGCACAUCACUGCUAUAUUUGAACCCAUAACAAGAUAAAUAACAAGAUCACGACUGUUUUUCAUCACUUUUCCAGAUCACGUUUGAAUUAAUGUUGGUAAUGUUUGGAUUUAAAUGAGUAACUUCAUUUUAGAACUUGAACUAGCAGCAACUUUGCAGUGUGCUAGAGUUGACAGCUAAAACUCCAUCUAUGGUUAUAUAAGAAAAACCCUCGGGCUUGUACUGUAAGUUAUGAAUUUAUUGUUAUGUAACUGACAAUUAGUUCAUGCUGUAUCACAAAACCUUUUUUUUUUUUUUUCAAAAAAUAAUAAUAAUUUUAGUAGUUAAUAAGCUGCUGCAUAUUGAAUGCGCAUGUAUUGACAGCUUCUGCUUCUCAUUGAAAUUUUAUUACUGUUCCCUAAAGGAGUUUUCCUCAUCAGAGUCAUACCGAGCUCACUGGAAGCUUUUUUUAUUAUCUGAACUAGACUUUAUGCUUGUGCUUGUUAAUGUUAAUUUCAUGCCUGUUCCUUUUGAGUUCUUUGCUUUAUUUGGCUAAAGCAAAAAUCUUUAAUUCUUUAAAAAUGGGAACACAAACAAGCAGUAAUGUUAAAUUUGACAUUACCGCAGUUUCUGCAGAGUACAUUGGAUUCAAUUAGGUUUUGUUUCUGUAUUUUUUUUCUCUGAAGUGUUCUGUUUGUAUUGUCACCAUGUACCCAGAGUUAUGAGUCACUCCUCUGGUCACUCCUCCUCCAACUCUGAUUGAUGAUUGGUGUUGCUGGUGUACUUACUAACCUCGAGUUCCUGCCUUCUCUUUGCCUGAAUAUGGACUGACUGUAUUAGGACUGUUUCGUGACGCAUCUCUCUCGAUUUUCUCGUUUGUUUUUUUUACCUGAUCUGCAUUAUUGUCUUGCAGAUAUGUUCAGUAAAGAACCUGCACAUGCAUUUUACUUCCUGAGCCUGUUCUUUACAGAAUGUUCAAGGCAAUAAGGGGGGGAAAAAAACUCUUGUGAGGAACAAAAAGAGGACAAAAAUGUAAUAAAAGAAACUGAGCAUUCGUUAAAUUUAUAGUCAACAAAGUUUUUAAUCUGUGACCAUAA